rnacentral:rRNA from 1 species
CCUACGGGGGGCAGCAGUGGGGAAUUGUUCGCAAUGGGCGCAAGCCUGACGACGCAACGCCGCGUGGAGGAUGAAGGUCUUCGGAUUGUAAACUCCUGUUGAUCGGGACGAACAACCAUCGGGAUAACACCCCGGAGGUCUGACGGUACCGAUUGAGGAAGCCCCGGCUAACUCUGUGCCAGCAGCCGCGGUACUACAGAGGGGGCAAGCGUUGUUCGGAAUUACUGGGCGUAAAGGGCGCGUAGGCGGCCGCCUAAGUCAGACGUGAAAUCCCUCGGCUCAACCGGGGAACUGCGUCUGAUACUGGGUGGCUUGAAUCCGGGAGAGGGAUGCGGAAUUCCAGGUGUAGCGGUGAAAUGCGUAGAUAUCUGGAGGAACACCGGUGGCGAAGGCGGCAUCCUGGACCGGCAUUGACGCUGAGGCGCGAAAGCCAGGGGAGCAAACGGGAUUAGAUACCCGGGUAGUC